UAGUAACAUUAUAAUAUUUUAGAUUUUGUUAUUUCCUAAAUUUGGUUUAAUUCUAUCACUCACUUGUGAGCAUUUUAUUGAACAAUAUUGUGUUAAUAUGAAAAUUCUUUAGUAAUACAGGUACAAGGAAAAUGUAUAUUACAUAAUUUGUAAAGAGUAAUUUACAGACACAAGUAAGUAGCUUUUACCAGUAAGCCUUUUUUUAAGGAAGACUUUAAAAUUAUAUAUUUCCAUCAAGUAAGUAUCAUGAGAAGUCAAUUAUAACCAUUGGGGUUUACCUGUGCAGUAAGUUACAAACUAUGCAAUUUUAAACUCCUAUCUACCAUAAGACAAAUUAUUGUAGCAGUGUAAAGUGUGUUAUUAAGAUGUUUGCAGUUGGUCCAGGCCAGAGUCAUCUUUAACAAUUUAAUUUGAACAGAAUAAAGGAACCCUAGAAACGAAGCAGGACUAGGUAGACUAGACAUUGACAUUUAUCAAGUUCAUCUCAGG